CACGUAGGGUGCGAGCGUUGUCCGGAAUUAUUGGGCGUAAAGAGCUCGUAGGCGGUGUGUCGCGUCGGCCGUGAAAACCUGCAGCUUAACUGUGGGCUUGCAGUCGAUACGGGCAGGCUAGAGUUCGGUAGGGGAGACUGGAAUUCCUGGUGUAGCGGUGAAAUGCGCAGAUAUCAGGAGGAACACCGGUGGCGAAGGCGGGUCUCUGGGCCGAUACUGACGCUGAGGAGCGAAAGCGUGGGGAGCGAACAGG
rnacentral:rRNA from 1 species